UACGUAGGGUGCAAGCGUUGUCCGGAAUUAUUGGGCGUAAAGAGCUCGUAGGCGGUUUGUUGCGUCGGCUGUGAAAUCCCGAGGCUCAACCUCGGGUCUGCAGUCGAUACGAGCAAACUAGAGUGUUGCAGGGGAGACUGGAAUUCCUGGUGUAGCGGUGAAAUGCGCAGAUAUCAGGAGGAACACCGGUGGCGAAGGCGGCAUCCUGGACCGGCAUUG
rnacentral:rRNA from 1 species